rnacentral:misc_RNA from 1 species
CCGAGUGAGGGCCCCCGGCCCGACCUCCAACCCUUUGUGAUUACCCCUCUGUUGCCUCGGGGGCGACCCGGCCGCGCGCCGGGGCCCCCGGUGGACCAACCUCACAACCUGCAUCCGUGCGUCGGUCAAAUUGAUAAAUCAAUCA